GACGAACGCUGGCGGCGUGCUUAACACAUGCAAGUCGAGCGGUAAGGCCCUUUCGGGGGUACACGAGCGGCGAACGGGUGAGUAACACGUGGGUGACCUGCCCUCAGCUCUGGGAUAAGCCUGGGAAACUGGGUCUAAUACCGGAUAUGACUCCAUGACGCAUGUUGUGGGGUGGAAAGCCUUGUGCGGCUGAGGAUGGGCCCGCGGCCUAUCAGCUUGUUGGUGGGGUGAGGGCCUACCAAGGCGACGACGGGUAGCCGGCCUGAGAGGGCGACCGGCCACACUGGGACUGAGACACGGCCCAGACUCCUACGGGAGGCAGCAGUGGGGAAUCUUGCGCAAUGGGCGAAAGCCUGACGCAGCGACGCCGCGU
rnacentral:rRNA from 1 species